AGUGAGGAAUAUUGGUCAAUGGAGGCAACUCUGAACCAGCCAAGUCGCGUGAAGGAUGACGGCCCUACGGGUUGUAAACUUCUUUUGUAAGGGAAUAAAGUUUGUCACGUGUGAUAAUUUGCAUGUACCUUACGAAUAAGCAUCGGCUAACUCCGUGCCAGCAGCCGCGGUAAUACGGAGGAUGCAAGCGUUAUCCGGAUUUAUUGGGUUUAAAGGGUGCGCAGGCGGGAUGUUAAGUCGGCGGUGAAAUUUUGCGGCUCAACCGUAAAAGUGCCUUCGAAACUGGCAUUCUUGAGUAUGGAUGAAGUAGGCGGAAUUUGUGGUGUAGCGGUGAAAUGCAUAGAUAUCACAAAGAACUCCGAUUGCGCAGGCAGCUUACUAAACCAUAACUGACGCUCAUGCACGAAGGCGUGGGUAUCGAACAGGAUUAGAUACCCUGGUAGUCCACGCAGUAAACGAUGAUUACUGGUUGUUUGCGAUACACAGUAAGCGACUGAGCG
rnacentral:rRNA from 1 species